AGCUGACCCCGUACGAGGAGGACCACACCCCCUCCAUGUAACUGGUGCAAGACCACUGAACCUCCGCUCCCGAAGGCGUACGAUCCAACCACUCGCCCCCGCCUCCUGGCCCAAAUUACAUACGAGCAUCCCACCAUCCCCUUUCCGGGGGGACCGUAACCGCGGUGAGAAAUCCAUUCGGAGACCAGCAAGGUGAACCUGAAGGAACCCACCACCCUGACUCCCACCAUUCGAGCCCCCUGAACCAUUGGCGCAGGCACACCAA